UUUUGGUGGAGGCACUAGACUGGAUGUUGGAAGUGACGUUAGUCCCACCUUGACAGUCCUGCCCCCCUCCAGCGUUGAGCUGCAGCAGAGCAAGGCCACUCUCAUGUGCCUGGCCAACAAGGGCUUCCCCUCAGACUGGAAGCUGAGCUGGAAGGUGGACGGUAGCAGCAGCAACACCUGGGAGGUGACUGGGAGCCCCGGGGUCCUGGAGAAGGAAGGCCACUACAGCUGGAGCAGCACCCUGACCCUUCCUGUCGACCAGUGGAGGAAGGUGGGCUCUGUGACCUGUGAGGCCACCCAGGGCUCCCAGUCUCCUCUCUCUGAGACACUGAGGAGAGACCAGUGUUCUGAUUAAUGAAGAGAGGUCCUGUGUGGGAAUCCUUCCUCCAGCUGGAGCUUUUAGCAUAGUGGAA